AGAGAGAGAGAGAGAGAGAGAGAGAGAGAGAGGAAAAGCUUGUGCUUAAUUGUCAAAGAUGACUUUUUUUUGACAAUUUUCUUUGUGGGUUUCAAGAAUGGUUUGUCAAAGUUGUGGCUUUGUUGUCCAUUUGGUUUCAGGCAUGGGAACAAGAUUUGAACCCACUUUCAAUCCUCUACCCACCACCUCUGCCCACAGCAGCAGCAGCAACGCAUUCACAGUUCAAAGAGUGAAUGAGUGGCAGCAUUUCCAGGGCUACUCAACUAAAUUCUAUACGACAUCUGCUGCCAUGAGUACUGGACUUGACAAGUUUCAAGAAGCACUGAACAAGAUGCUGCAGAAAGGAGACGUUGAAGCCAUUAAAAACACAAUGCAGCUCCAUGACAAUGUAUUCAAGAAUCAGGUGAAGGAACUCCAUCGGCUGUACAGUGUCCAGAAGAUGUUGAUGGAAGAGCUGAGGAAAGAAACCAAGCAAAACACAUUAGGGAGUCCAAUGGCAAGUUCAGGAAUUAACCACUUACAGUUCAACAACCGCGAAACUUCAACAACACAGACCGCUGGAGAGGGGCUGAUUUUCAAUCUUGAUCCAAGUAGUAGAGAGAGAAGUGGAAGCUGUUCUGGAGACAACAUGAGAAUGUCAAGAGGCUUUGAUCUUGAAAGGCCAGCAGAAGAGGACAUGUCGACUGGCAUUAGUACCGUUGACGAGGACCAAGCCAGGCCAAGCACUCCGACGAUAGCCAGGAAAAGUAACAAGAUGCAGUGCAUAGAUGGGUGUGAAGAAGACAGUGAUGUUGAGCUAACUCUAAGUAUUGGAGGAGGAAGUCUAAGCAAGAAGAGAUCAAAAUCCUUUCCUCCUAUUACUCAUAAGGAUAGAGAGAUUGAUUCAUCUUUGUCAUUCAAAUCAGAAAGAGGAGAAGAAUGCAGUGACCCAACCACCCCCAUGAGCAGCUCAAGUGCAACAUGUGAUCAGGAAACAAAACGGCCACAUUGGCUCUUUCAAAGUUUAAAGCUCAAGUAGCAGAGAAGAUGACAAGUUUUGUAUCUAUCAUUCCAAAACUUGCAAAAAGAAAAACAGAGAAGAACAGAAAAAAGGUAGGAGCAGAGACUGUUGAUGACGCUCAACAUCAUAACCAAAGCUUGACAAUUUAUAUUAAAAAACUGGUGAUGAUGACCACUGCAAGUCAAGCAAAGAAAGGAACACAGGGAAACAUCCAAUUCCAGGCAAUGAAAGAAACAGUGUCAUAUCAGAGAUGCAAAUCAAGUGGGACAAAGAGAACAAAAAUUGUCUUCUUUUCUGUACCCUUUUAUUUGUGUCUGCAGCUUUACUGCCGGUGGUGAGUCAAUUUAGAAGAAAAGGCAUUUUUGAAGAGGAAGGACUGUGUGUGUUAGUGGAUGGAGAGAUGCCAUAACAAACAGAAAAAGUUACUUGCUUGACCAGAAAGAGAUAAGAGAUGAUGAAAUGAUGGUGUGCUUAAAGUUAAUACGAUCACACUACUGAACGUGCGUGCUGCUCCGUACCGUAACCCAUUUUGUCUUGUGGGAGGAUGUCAUCAUUGUGUCCUUCCCCUCACCGAAACUUUUGACUACUUUUUAGCAUUAGACACAAAAGCUUAGAUCAAAACUAUAUUUCUUCAUUCGAUUCUCUUUACGUCUUUAUUAAACACUAAAACAGACAGAAGAAAUGUACCAAAUCCUAAAGAUUCUUCGCUGUAUUUGCCUUCUC